GGGUUGUGAGGUUAAGCGACUAAGCGUACACGGUGGAUGCCCUGGCAGUCAGAGGCGAUGAAGGGCGUGCUAAUCUGCGAUAAGCGCCGGUAAGGUGAUAUGAACCGUUAUAACCGGCGAUACCCGAAUGGGGAAACCCAGUGUGAUUCGUCACACUAUCAUUAACUGAAUCCAUAGGUUAAUGAGGCGAACCGGGGGAACUGAAACAUCUAAGUACCCCGAGGAAAAGAAAUCAACCGAGAUUCCCCCAGUAGCGGCGAGCGAACGGGGAGGAGCCCAGAGCCUGAAUCAGCAUGUGUGUUAGUGGAAGCGUCUGGAAAGGCGCGCGAUACAGGGUGACAGCCCCGUACACAAAAGCGCAUGUGCUGUGAGCUCGAUGAGUAGGGCGGGACACGUGGUAUCCUGUCUGAAUAUGGGGGGACCAUCCUCCAAGGCUAAAUACUCCUGACUGACCGAUAGUGAACCAGUACCGUGAGGGAAAGGCGAAAAGAACCCCGGCGAGGGGAGUGAAAAAGAACCUGAAACCGUGUACGUACAAGCAGUGGGAGCNNGUGACUGCGUACCUUUUGUAUAAUGGGUCAGCGACUUAUAUUCUGUAGCAAGGUUAACCGAAUAGGGGAGCCGGAGGGAAACCGAGUCUUAAUUGGGCGUUAAGUUGCAGGGUAUAGACCCGAAACCCGGUGAUCUAGCCAUGGGCAGGUUGAAGGUUGGGUAACACUAACUGGAGGACCGAACCGACUAAUGUUGAAAAAUUAGCGGAUGACCUGUGGCUGGGGGUGAAAGGCCAAUCAAACCGGGAGAUAGCUGGUUCUCCCCGAAAGCUAUUUAGGUAGCGCCUCGUGAAUUCAUCUCCGGGGGUAGAGCACUGUUUCGGCUAGGGGGCCAUCCCGGCUUACCAACCCGAUGCAAACUGCGAAUACCGGAGAAUGUUAUCACGGGAGACACACGGCGGGUGCUAACGUCCGUCGUGAAGAGGGAAACAACCCAGACCGCCAGCUAAGGUCCCAAAGUCAUGGUUAAGUGGGAAACGAUGUGGGAAGGCCCAGACAGCCAGGAUGUUGGCUUAGAAGCAGCCAUCAUUUAAAGAAAGCGUAAUAGCUCACUGGUCGAGUCGGCCUGCGCGGAAGAUGUAACGGGGCUAAACCAUGCACCGAAGCUGCGGCAGCGANNGUUGGGUAGGGGAGCGUUCUGUAAGCCUGUGAAGGUGGCCUGUGAGGGUUGCUGGAGGUAUCAGAAGUGCGAAUGCUGACAUAAGUAACGAUAAAGCGGGUGAAAAGCCCGCUCGCCGGAAGACCAAGGGUUCCUGUCCAACGUUAAUCGGGGCAGGGUGAGUCGACCCCUAAGGCGAGGCCGAAAGGCGUAGUCGAUGGGAAACGGGUUAAUAUUCCCGUACUUGGUGUUACUGCGAAGGGGGGACGGAGAAGGCUAUGUUGGCCGGGCGACGGUUGUCCCGGUUUAAGCGUGUAGGUGUGUGUUCCAGGUAAAUCCGGUUCACUUUAACACUGAGGCGUGAUGACGAGGCACUACGGUGCUGAAGUAACAAAUGCCCUGCUUCCAGGAAAAGCCUCUAAGCAUCAGGUAACAUCAAAUCGUACCCCAAACCGACACAGGUGGUCAGGUAGAGAAUACCAAGGCGCUUGAGAGAACUCGGGUGAAGGAACUAGGCAAAAUGGUGCCGUAACUUCGGGAGAAGGCACGCUGACACGUAGGUGAAGUGAUUUACUCAUGGAGCUGAAGUCAGUCGAAGAUACCAGCUGGCUGCAACUGUUUAUUAAAAACACAGCACUGUGCAAACACGAAAGUGGACGUAUACGGUGUGACGCCUGCCCGGUGCCGGAAGGUUAAUUGAUGGGGUCAGCGCAAGCGAAGCUCCUGAUCGAAGCCCCGGUAAACGGCGGCCGUAACUAUAACGGUCCUAAGGUAGCGAAAUUCCUUGUCGGGUAAGUUCCGACCUGCACGAAUGGCGUAAUGAUGGCCAGGCUGUCUCCACCCGAGACUCAGUGAAAUUGAACUCGCUGUGAAGAUGCAGUGUACCCGCGGCAAGACGGAAAGACCCCGUGAACCUUUACUAUAGCUUGACACUGAACAUUGAGCCUUGAUGUGUAGGAUAGGUGGGAGGCUUUGAAGCGUGGACGCCAGUCUGCGUGGAGCCGACCUUGAAAUACCACCCUUUAAUGUUUGAUGUUCUAACGUGGACCCGUGAUCCGGGUUGCGGACAGUGUCUGGUGGGUAGUUUGACUGGGGCGGUCUCCUCCUAAAGAGUAACGGAGGAGCACGAAGGUUGGCUAAUCCUGGUCGGACAUCAGGAGGUUAGUGCAAUGGCAUAAGCCAGCUUGACUGCGAGCGUGACGGCGCGAGCAGGUGCGAAAGCAGGUCAUAGUGAUCCGGUGGUUCUGAAUGGAAGGGCCAUCGCUCAACGGAUAAAAGGUACUCCGGGGAUAACAGGCUGAUACCGCCCAAGAGUUCAUAUCGACGGCGGUGUUUGGCACCUCGAUGUCGGCUCAUCACAUCCUGGGGCUGAAGUAGGUCCCAAGGGUAUGGCUGUUCGCCAUUUAAAGUGGUACGCGAGCUGGGUUUAGAACGUCGUGAGACAGUUCGGUCCCUAUCUGCCGUGGGCGCUGGAGAACUGAGGGGGGCUGCUCCUAGUACGAGAGGACCGGAGUGGACGCAUCACUGGUGUUCGGGUUGUCAUGCCAAUGGCACUGCCCGGUAGCUAAAUGCGGAAGAGAUAAGUGCUGAAAGCAUCUAAGCACGAAACUUGCCCCGAGAUGAGUUCUCCCUGAGACUUNNAUUUU
rnacentral:rRNA from 1 species